UUGCGGGGAUCUUGCGCAUGGGCGAAGCCUGACGCAGCAACGCCGCGUGGGGGACGAAGGCCUUCGGGUUGUAAACCCCUUUCAGCAGGGACGAUUAUGACGGUACCUGCAGAAGAAGCCCCGGCCGACUACGUGCCAGCAGCCGCGGUAAUACGUAGGGGCGAGCGUUGUCCGGAUUUAUUGGGCGUAAAGAGCUCGUAGGCGGUUUGGCAAGUCGGGUGUGAAAACUCCGGGCUCAACUCGGAGACGCCACUCGAUACUGCCAUGACUCGAGUCCGGUAGGGGAGUGCGGAAUUCCUGGUGUAGCGGUGAAAUGCGCAGAUAUCAGGAGGAACACCGGUGGCGAAGGCGGCACUCUGGGCCGGUACUGACGCUGAGGAGCGAAAGCGUGGGGAGCGAACAGGAUUAGAUACCCUGGUAGUCCACGCCGUAAACGUUGGGCACUAGGUGUGGGGCUCGAUCGACGGGUUCCGUGCCGUAGCUAACGCAUUAAGUGCCCCGCCUGGGAAGUACGGCCGCAAGGCUAA
rnacentral:rRNA from 1 species